GGGAAAUGAGGAAUGGGUUAAAUCUCGCUUAAAUGCGUGAAGAGUGUUCCACUCAAAGCCUGUUACGACAAUUGGGCACUCCAAUUCUCUAUAUCAUCUGAUCCC
rfam:Arabis alpina cultivar Pajares chromosome 6, whole genome shotgun sequence.